UACGUAGGGUGCGAGCGUUGUCCGGAAUUAUUGGGCGUAAAGAGCUCGUAGGCGGUUUGUCGCGUCUGCUGUGAAAGCCCGGGGCUCAACCCCGGGUCUGCAGUGGGUACGGGCAGACUGGAGUGCAGUAGGGGAGACUGGAAUUCCUGGUGUAGCGGUGAAAUGCGCAGAUAUCAGGAGGAACACCGAUGGCGAAGGCAGGUCUCUGGGCUGUAACUGACGCUGAGGAGCGAAAGCAUGGGGAGCGAACAGG
rnacentral:rRNA from 1 species